GCGUGCGUGAAGAAGGCCUCAGGGUUGUAAAGCGCUUUCGGCGGGGAAGAUGAUGACGGUACCCGCACAAGAAGCCCCGGCUAACUCCGUGCCAGCAGCCGCGGUGAUACGGAGGGGGCAAGCGUUGUUCGGAAUUACUGGGCGUAAAGGGCGCGUAGGCGGGCGACUAAGUCAGAGGUGAAAGGCCUGGGCUCAACCUGGGAACUGCCUUUGAAACUAGUUGUCUUGAGUCCGGAAGAGGAUGGCGGAAUUCCCAGUGUAGAGGUGAAAUUCGU
rnacentral:rRNA from 1 species